AGGAAAUGCUGCCUGGGGCUCUCAGAACAAGGAGGAGCAAGUCAGGCCCUCAGCCAGCCCAUUGCUCAGCAGAUUUCUCAGGAGGCAGGUCAAGUGGUCUGGUAUUCCCAUCUCUUGAAGAAUUUUCCACAGUUUGUUGUGAUCCACACAGUCAAAUGUCUGUGUUUCCUAAACAGGGAUCAAACCCAUGCCCCCUGCACUGGAAGCUCACAGUCUUAACAACUCGACUACCAGGUAAGUCCCACCGUGUGUAUCUUUAAUAAUUUUUCAAAAACCACUUUUAAGACACUGAAAAUAUUUUUUUAAAGUCUAUUCAAACUGAGUCUCAUAGGAGGGCCCACUCCAAACUGUCAUCAUAAGGAAAGUUAACAAUAUUGAACAAACCUAUACAAAUGUGUGUUGAGAAAGUUAUUAAAAAUAUAAAAGAACAUUUUCUGGAGAGCCUGUUCCUAAGGGAAAAGGGCUAUAUUGUGUCCCAAAAAACUUCCUUUCCCUCUGCCCCCUCUAAUGUUUAAAGAAUAAUUAGGUUGACAUAAUCAAGACAGUUCACAAAGCAGAGGUAUUUGCCAGUAUAUUAUCAAUUAAAAGUCAUAAAUAUGGGUGUCGUACCUCAAAGAGCCAGUUAGAGGCCUGGAGACAAAGAACUCCCAGAUUCUCAGAAUAGAGACAACACUCCAGAUGACAAUGCUUUUCCUGAGGGCACAUAGCCACUAUGUCAUCACUAUUGACUUUCUGUUAGCUACCGCCUGCCCUGAUGACCUGACACACCCCUGGUCCCCAGCUUAGCCCCAAUCCCUAUGUCAGAGAAAUUCUGGAGAUUAGCAUGGAGGUGAGGUUCUGGGACUGAAUAGACUGGCAAGGAUGAAGCUCUUGGUCUUUGUUUAUUCCUUAUUAUUGUUUUAAAAUUUUAUUUAUUUGGCUGCGCUGAGUCUCAGCUACGGCAUGCUGGAUAUUUUGUUGCUGCAUGUGGGAAUCUAGUUCCCCGACUAGGAAUCGAACCCAGGGUCUCUGCAUUGGGAGGAAGGAGAUCCACUGGACCACCAAGGAAGUCCCUCUUUCUCUUGGUUUAUUUGGUAAUAAAACAACUAAAAAAUAAGAGAUUUUUAAGGCUUUUUCUAGGCUUCAUUUUAAAGCCUGUAUCAAAUAUACUUCAAAAUGCCAAGUGCCCUCCCCCACUUAAUGGGAUCCCGGUACACCUGUGGCUCCAAGGAGAGGAAAUGGAAGUAGGCACAGGUGGAAGGGCCACUCAGUGCCACCUGUCUGGUGCGGCUCCCACAGUGCAUGUCCUAUCCUACACAAACCGGUUUCCUUGGAUUAAAUACAUUCGACCCAAACACAGCCAAUUCAUUCAUUUUGUAUUCCCUGUAGAGACUAUCAGAAUAUCUGGAUUUUCUAAAUCAAUGCCAGAUAGCAAUAUCAGAAUUAUCAGAAUGAAUCUUCUUGCUUGCUUCUAGUCACAGCCUGUGAUUUAAAAUGGUGGUGCUAUAAUUCUACCAUCUCCAUGGUCAUGGCAGUUCACCACCUCUAGGCUUAAAAGGUUUGUGUGUAGGGACUUCCCUGGUGGUCCAGUGGUUAAGACUCUGGACUUCCAAUUCAGGGGGCAUGGGAUCAAAGCAGGGAGACUGGUUCUCCAUAGCACCUUUCGUUAGUAAAUUUUCUGAAUUAAGAAAAGCAGCUGAGUCACCCUGAAGUCAAUGCUUAUAAAAAUCACCUGAUGAGUUUGUCUCUCUCAAAAGUUACAUCUCCUUUCUUGAUACUCACCCAAAAUGUAAUGCCCCUCAGCCAGAGAUUAUCCUAGGUUAGGAAGGGGCAUUAAAACAAAAACAAACGGGGUUCUGAUGUGAAUGGUCUAAAAGCCUCACUGAGUGAGUUUCAGUCAUUUUUAUUUUUACUUUUAUUUCUCUGUGGUCCACAUUUUUUUGGAGAAGAAACAGAAUUCCAAAGGGCAAUCUUAUUUAAAUAUUCAGAUACAUCACUGACUGCUUGUAAUGGAUACAUAACCUGUUUCUAGAAUUUCUGAAGCACUUCAGUACCUGAGCAGAUUUCAAUGAUAAAGAAGUGUUGGGGAAAACUAAGUGACCUGAGACCUGAGGUCCCAGCAAACAUUUGUGAGUGGCUACUAAAGCAACUAAACACGCCCUAUAGGCUCCGGGCUUCCCAGGUGGCUCAGUGGUAAAGAGUCCGCCUGCCAAACCAGGAAUCUCAAGUUCAAGGAGGGCAUGGUAACCCAUUCCAGUUUUCUUGCCUGGAGAAUCCCAAAGACAGAGGAGCCUGGCCAGUCCACGGGGUUGCAAAGAGUCAGACAUGACUAAACAACAACUUUAGGCCCAGCACCUGUUUUCACAAAUGCAUGCUCUCAGCUAUUCCCCCAGGAACCUCAUUUUCUAAAUGAGGAAGUGGCGGCUCAGAGAGCUUGUCCAAGUUCACAUAAAUACUAAGUAUGUGUUGCAUCAGUCAUAGAUUGAUCAAUUACUAUGUUUAAUUACUAGGUUUAAAGAGUGAAACAAGCAAGCAUGAAAUCACCUGUCUUUACAUUCAAUGGCAAAAAAAAAAACCUCUCGAAAAUGUUUUGAAAUGGUGGCUCUGUGAUCAUGACCCACAAUAACCUCUCCUGAAAGGGGGAAAUAACUUGGCUACUUGUGGUUAGAAAAUGCUGCCCCACCCUCAAAUUCAUACCUACCAAGUCAGUGAGCUCCCUGCUUACCGUGCCCACCUCCUGAGUCAUAUUAAUGUACCAGGGGCAGGAAGGAAGGGGAAUUCCUUUCCACACUUAAGUCUUAUUUCAGGAAUGAGUGACUCAGAUGCCAUUGACAGACUUCCUACCUAACAAACAGCCUUAUUAAGGAGUCAGUCUUUCAGCACAUAUUUAUGGGACUUGGGCUUCCAGAACCCCAAUUUUUAGCACAUGGCUAAAUUCUGGGUCCCAAGUCUGCAAACAAAAUCACCAGAAAGCUCUGGGGACAGAGAUUUGGCUUCUCUGAUCCUAGGCAUUUCUGUGAAUAAAAUAAGGAUUUUAACACCUACCAUGUAGAGAAGUUGUGAAGAAAUCAGACAAGAGGUCAUGAAGUUGACACCAGCAGUUCCGGGAUUGAUGGGAAUUCCUGCUGGACGGCCAGGAGGAAGGAAAGGGGAUUGUCAUGAACUGUUGUUGUCUGGUCAUGUUUGGCUCUUUUGCGACCCCAUGGACUGUAACCUGCCAGGCUCCUCUGUCCUUGAGAUUUUUCAGCAUCACAAAACUUGGGGACUGGAUAGAACUGAAGACUCCAUCUUGCCAAUCCCCUUACUUAGUGGGAAGGCUGAAUGACUUGUCCAGCUGCUCUCGGCCAAGCCAGAGGAGAGAAUUUUUAAAUAUACAUCAAAUGUAAGAGCUAAAGUGCUUAGUCGCUCAUUCAUGUCAGACUCUUUGCGACUCCAUGGACUGCAGCAUGCCAGGCUCCUAUGUCCAUGGGAUUUUCCAGGCAAGAAUACUGCAGUGGGUUGUCACUGCCUACUCCAGGGAUCCCUCACAUCCUCCCACCCUUGUUGGAAGCAAGGGCUUGUCUGUGAACCUUGUCCACAAGGCUGUUUUGUGUGCAGGAACAGCCAGCUCCAGCCUCAUUCUGGACCAUAGGAGGGGCCUCCCAGGAGGCGCAGGGGUGGCAGCACCUCUGACAGCAGAGGCAGGCAGCCCACCUACGGGACCCAGCUUGGACAUCUCCACCCAUGAACCGAACCCCCAGUCCAGUGAGUGUUCUGAGAGCCUGUUUUCACUCAGAAAAACAGAAAUGUAAUGGAAUUUUUAAACUGUCUAGAAGACAAUUUUAAACUAAGAAAACGGAACUGACUCUGCUUGGCCGAGGCCAAAGUACACAGAAGUUGGUGUGAAGUCACUUCUGCGGUGGGAACUCAGUGAGACACGCUCGGUGGCUUCCCAGAGGAGGUGAGAAGGAGGGAUUCUCCGUCCUCUGCGUCCUUGUGGAGAAUCACUGUAUGCGGGGGCUACAGUCCCUCCCCAUGAAGUGCUCACAGUGGAUAAGGAUUAUUUCUGAGAAAUGCAGGGUUAGGUGGGAAGGUGGGCUCGCCCUGAGCAAAGUGUGGGAAGGGUUUGGGAGCCCCCAUGCGUGUCCUCUCUUGGCCCCCUCCGCCCCGCCUCCCCUCCCCAGUAGGGUCCUGUCCGGCCCUCACCUGGUCUGCUUGUCCUCUCAUCCUCCCCCCAGGCCUUUGCCAGCACAUCUGGGCUGCAGACACAGCUCUCUGCUUAAGUGAUAGGUGUGCGGGCGUGCUGGACACCACUGUGGUCUAGACACCGUGUCUAGAGGCACAACAGGGGCCUCUGCAGGGACGCUUAGACCUGGAGAGGGCAAGGCCGGGGAGCAGAUGUUCAGAAGACAGAGAGAAGUCUUCACGCAGCGUCCCUCCCCACUUGUCUACUGACUCAAGACAGCGGCGUGCUAGAUCUCAGCUUUCCUUUCAGACCCAAACAACGCGGCCUUUGCCACUGGCCUGAGUAAGUCACAUUUAUUCUAGUUAGAAAGGGACACCCAGGUGGUGGAGGCCCCGGGGCCUGUGGCUACAGAUAGAGGAAGAAGGCUCCGUUCCAUCUUCCUCUACCCGCCCCUCAUCUCAUAUACACACAUAGCCCCCCUGCCCCAUCUUCUCAUGAACACUGGGCUAAGAUGUAAAUCGGGGGAUCCGCCUUGGGGGUCCCGUGUCCCUCCCUCCUCACCACCAUCUUUUUUCUCUGCCGGUGCACACCCCCUGGAUCCCCUACAAACCCGCCCCUUGUUUGACAUCCUGUGCAUUGAGUCCUUCUAACAACGGCCAGCCGUGCUCACCGGAGCGCAGAUAUCGCUCCGUUCCCUGAAAGGCCAGAUGGAACCGCCCCCCCCCCCCCGCCCCCACCCCAUUUGUGGGUCCACAUCUGACAGCGCACAAGGCUUUUAUCUCAGAAGGAAAGAGCCGGGUUCUGAGCGGCAGUCCCGCCCCCAAGCACACACGGAGUCAAAAAGACAUUUGUCCACAGGGCCCAUCACAGGGAAAACUCCUGUUUUUUUUUUUUUUUUUUUAAGAAUUUUCUCUUCCCGCCAAAAUGCUUGUUCCCGAUGCAGCAGCAGCAGCAGCAGCAGGUCUGUGGAAAGCCUGCCAUCUGACCUGCUCACAGGUCCCUCCCCAUCUCGAGUCCCAUCUGGUGUCUGGUGCGCACAAAGGCCCCCGGCCGCCCCGCCCAGGCCUUUCUGCAGCCGCCACCGGGCGUCAGGUCCCUGGGGCCCGCUCCGCGCGAGGGUCUGGUCCCCGGGCGCCCCUCGGCCCGAAGACCAACAGGUGAUGUCAGCGGGUGUCCGAACUCUGGGACUCACCAGGCGCCGGCACUCAUGAUUCACACGUGCACGCGCCUCUGACUCAGCAGUUUCCAGCGGCCUGGACUGCAAUUCACAAGGAAGGACCCGGGCCCAGACUGCUAAGGAGCCGCAGCACCACCUUUCUGCACAACAGCAGAGAACUGGAAACAACUCCAGAUUACCUCGAUCAUGGAAAUAGCCAUACUAUUAAAAAAAAAAAAAGAAAAAAACACACAACCGCGUAGCGACUGAAGACAAUGCUGGAGACCUGUGUCUUUUGGCAUCAAAGGCUAUCCACAAAAACAUUCUUAAAUAGCAAGUUUCCAAGUAAUAUAUAUAAUGUGAUUCUACUUUGCUAUAUAAAAUAUAUACAUUUAUACAUACAUUUAUAUACAUGUACAUAGAAAAAGUAUGUAUACCAAGAUGUUAACUCAUUAUUUCUGGAUAUUGAGUUUAUGGCUGAUUUUAUCUUCCUAUUUUUGAUCAUAUUUUCUGAUUUUCACACAUUUUUCUAUAACUGUAUAGAAAAAAAAAUUUUGUUUUUAAUGGAUGCUGGAGACAACUUUCUCAUUUACUUAUAGAUACUAUUUAAAGCCAUGAACUAGAGGAGGAGAAAGUACAGAAGAGAAGGGAGUCCCGGGCUGAGGCCUGGGAACUCCAGUAUUUAGAAAUUGGAUAAAGGAGGAGACAGGAAAGCAAUCCGAGGAGAAGCCAGUAAGAAGGGAGAAAAACCAGAAGGAUCCCAGAGGCCGAGAGAAAGAACUGGCUCAGGCUCUGUCACGUGUCCUUAAGAGGUCAGAAGAAUAAGACUAGGACAGCAAAUGGGGCGAGGUGAAGAUUUGUCGGAUAAGAGGGAGAGCGUGGAACUGGAGUUCUGCAAAGAAAUGGGAGAUGUGGAGGGCCGUGUUUUCUCAGACAUGGAAAUAUUUCAACAUUGUUGUAGGAUGAUGAUAAUGAUCAGGUUAACCAGGAAGUCAGUGAUCCAGCAGCCAGAGAUGAUGGGCAGAGAAGGAUCUGCAAGCGCAGCCAGCUAGGGUGGCUAUUCAGCUCCUAGGACAGCCCGCCCCCCACAUGGAGAAAGAAAGCAGAGCUUAGGUGAGCACCAAUGCAGGCAGCAUGGUAGGUGUGGCAAGGGGAGAUGAGUUACUUCUAGGAUGUAUAGCAGCUGCUUGAGGUGGGUGACAUCGAUGGACACUUUACAGAUCAGUUGGCACGGUUAUGUGUUUGCCUGUACGUCCCCAUCUCCUUCAUUUGUAUCAUGGCCUAGGGAAAUACUUCCCUUUGCCACUCUUUCUCCAUCAGCAAGCCUUUAUCACUACAUCGUGAAGAGUAACAGCAAAAGAGACUGAUUAAAAGACUCAAAAUCACAAAUAAGUUCCCACAAGAUCUACAGGAAGUAUAGAUGUCAUCAUUUAUUUAUGUGUCUCCCUGGUGACAUCAUGCACUUUCUCCUUUAGAAAGUGAACAGUAAACCAAUAUGAAAGUAUAAAUUACAUUUACUACUUUAUACGAGCUAACUGAUGUUUAUCAACCACGCGCUGGUGUGUUGCCCUUCCUGGGUCCUGGGAGGGAGCAGACAUGAAUGUGAUGUGGAGGAAGAUGAGCUGUGGACCCAGAGCACAGGACUUCCAAGCCCAAAGAUGGGGGCUUGGAUAAGAGCAAAAGCUUUACAUUAUUACAAUUACAAUUCUCAUAUCCAGCUUUUUUUUUUUUUUAACUUGAUGUUCUGUUUAUACUUCUCUGUUUCUACAUGGUCUGAAAAUAGAACAGGCUUUGGAAUCAGAAGUUCAAAACAUAGUUCUACCUCUCAUCGCCUAUCUUCAAAGGCAGAUGUAGGUCUUAAGGGGCCCAAAGCUUAGGGGCUUCUCUUUAAGAACACAAACUUGAGAGCAGAAUUGAAUAUUUCUUUGAAAUGAAGAAGGAAAUCACAACACAUUUCCAGAGAUUUCAAUCUUGCCUUCUGAGAUCUCUUUAGACAAUUUAUCAGAAACAUUUAUGCAGAGAUGCUCACUGAUUACAAUCUGUUUCCACCCCACCCCACUGGGGUCCUGACCCCCUAACAAUGUGACUACCACCCUCUUGGGGCCCUUGCAAGUGGGGGCCCUGAUGUUCAUUUACUUUAUAGUAAGUCUACCUUUGUCUGUGUGAUCUGGGGCAGGUCAGACUUCUCUGAUCCUCAGUUUGCUCAUCUACAAAAUGGAAUCGUAAUAGCUACCCAUGAAGGUUGCUGUGAAGACCAAGUGAAAUAGUUCAGAAAUCAGGGCUGGAACCUAUGGGGAUUGCACACCCUGAUUCUUAUUCCUCUAAUGCCAGUGACUGGGAGAUGGAGGCGAGGUACGCGACACUGUAUACUGUGCCGGCUCCUCAGAGAGACCAGUUUCCUUCCAGUUUACAGUCAUUUUUUAACAAUUGCUGCCUGCCUUUCUUAUGCCACUCGUAAUGGAUUUUUAGACUAAUAGAUUUUGUGAGCUUUUAUUAAUUCCUCCAGCAAUUUAGAGUUAAAGGAGGAACUAGGUAAAGCCAUCAUUUAUGUGGCUCAUCCCGCUUAAUUAUUUCUUCUAAAAUCAACGGCCAAAAAAAAAAAAAAAUUUUGUUUUUGGACGCAUUGAUGCAAUUAGAAAAAUGUUAAAGGACUCAAGAGAUUCAACGGCUCUGGCCUGUGAGCAGACGGACCAUUCAUAAGUUUGUAGUUUCUAAUUUAGAGCAGUCUCAGAUGAAUUUCCUGCCCAAGCUGGUCUGCUUAGGGAACAAAAGCCUGGAGAUGUGUCUGCUUCACGCCCCAUUGGCAGUGCACACUGCCAGGGCUGGCCUCUCUGGUGGCCCGUACUCAUCAGAGGGACCCGCCGCCCUUAGCGAUUCGGCUUUUACAAAUCACUGCAGGGAAAUCCAGUUUGGACAACACAGAAGCGCGUCCCUUCAUACCACUGGGACUUCGCCACAGUCCUUUAUAUCUUUAACCCACAAAGGUUUCAGUGAACUAUUUCCAAUUCCUGUAGCUUCAUCAAGAAAAGUACCCCCUUCUGGGGCCAACUUUUCCAAGAUGCUAAAGUCUUAAGGUGACCACAAAAGUAGUCCAUCAGCGACUGAUUUCACACUUUACAACAUAGAUCCCUCCAAGGAUCGGUUUCAUGCGGCUGCAUUUUACCUGAUAUCCUCUGGCUUUGAUAAACAGGGGUUAAUUAGGCAUCUGUGAAAUAAAACACAACCUGGGCACCCCACCAGGCAAGAGAUGCUAAGUGUCUCAUUUUAAACGACUCACCUCGGUUUUAGUUCUGCCUUUAAUGAAAAGAAAGAAAGAAAAAAAAAAAAAAGCUGCAGUUACAGCUUCUCCAGCCUGAAGAACUUCUCCAGUAACCUUGCCUUAUAUAACAAAGAAAGAAGGAAUGGAGCCAGAGGACGACACGCUGGGCGGGAACGACAAACGAUGAUCUUAACUACGAGGCUUAGCCCCAUCUUCCAAGCAGAUCAGACUAAUGAGAGAGAGGAUGGGAGAGAUACCACCUCAGUGCUGGAGAGAGGAGGCAAUAAACCAGUUCACUGAUUUUAAAGAGUGGGUGGUGAGGCAUAACUAUCACUUCCCAGGAUUUUUCUAAGACUACAGUUUUCUCUUUCAUAAUGAAAAAAAAAGAAGAGUAUAUUUUAAAAAUAUUUGGAGAUAAUUGAAUACUUAUAAGCAAAUGUCCUUAAAUACGGAAAGAAAACGUCUGGUAACGGCGCCUUCUGUUAGAGAGAAAAUUGACCUCAAAUUUUAAAUUAAAUUUUCCAAAAGCUUCAACCCAGGUUUCUCCCCCACAUCUUGAAUUUUGGCUUUCAUAUUCUUCAAACGUUAGGCUGACCUGAUUUUUCUUUCCGGUUACAUCAGUGUAACUUGAUGAAUAGUGAUUCCUAAUAAGGAGAGUGUGCCCAACCUUGUUAAAAAAAAAAAAAAGUUAAGAAAGAAACUAAAAUACCAUAACAGAAAAAAAGAGCAUUUAAGAUAAAGUCCAAACAAAAUUUUUAAAUAUAAAAUUCAUCUUAUAAGGGGCUAUCUGGAUAGCUUCUUUUCAUUGACUACAAUUUCUGAGCAUUGUGUGAUUUAUAUAUUAUAUUCACUCCAUUAUUAAAAAUUUGUCCAUGGCUACAUAUUUGCUACAAAUGCAACAGUUCACACUGUUAUAGCACCCUAAUGACCCCACCCCCCCAAUACAUCAAUGUGCAAAUUCCCAGAACCUGCAAACAUGUUACCUUACAUGGUGAAGCAGACUUGGCAGAUGUCAUCAAAUUAAGGGUCUUGACUUGGGGACCUUAAUCAGCCUGGAUUAUCCAGAUGGACCCAAUGUAAUCACAAAGGUGACAGAGGGAGAUUUUGUCCAGAUAGAGGAAUGUCUGAGGGAUGUAGCAAGAUGACAAUUCCACCAAUCACUCCUGGUUUUGAAGAUCGAAGAAGGGGCUGUGCACCAAGAAAUGCAGGCAGCCUCUUGGAGCUAGAAAAUGCAAGGGAAUAGAUUUCCUCCUAGAGCCUCCAGAUGCAAUGUAGGCUUUCUGACACCUUGACUUUAGUCCAUUGACACUGACUUCAAAUUUCUGACUUCAAGACUAUAAGAUAAUAAAUCUGCAUUGUUUUAAGCGACUAAAUGUGUGGUAUUUGUUACAGCAGCAAUAAGAAAUUAAUACUCAGAGUAAGUGUAUUAAUUCCCAUUUUACAGAGAGAGAUCUAAGAUCUUUCAAAC
ensembl:lncRNA